rnacentral:rRNA from 1 species
ACGAACGCUGGCGGCGUGGAUAAGACAUGCAAGUCGAACGAGAGAAUUGCUAGCUUGCUAAUAAUUCUCUAGUGGCGCACGGGUGAGUAACACGUGAGUAACCUGCCCCCGAGAGCGGGAUAGCCCUGGGAGACUGGGAUUAAUACCGCAUAGUAUCGAAAGAUUAAAGCAGCAAUGCGCUUGGGGAUGGGCUCGCGGCCUAUUAGUUAGUUGGUGAGGUAACGGCUCACCAAGGCGAUGACGGGUAGCCGGUCUGAGAGGAUGUCCGGCCACACUGGAACUGAGACACGGUCCAGACACCUACGGGUGGCAGCAGUCGAGAAUCAUUCACAAUGGGGGAAACCCUGAUGGUGCGACGCCGCGUGGGGGAAUGAAGGUCUUCGGAUUGUAAACCCCUGUCAUGUGGGAGCAAAUUAAAAAGAUAGUACCACAAGAGGAAGAGACGGCUAACUCUGUGCCAGCAGCCGCGGUAAUACAGAGGUCUCAAGCGUUGUUCGGAAUCACUGGGCGUAAAGCGUGCGUAGGCUGUUUCGUAAGUCGUGUGUGAAAGGCGCGGGCUCAACCCGCGGACGGCACAUGAUACUGCGAGACUAGAGUAAUGGAGGGGGAACCGGAAUUCUCGGUGUAGCAGUGAAAUGCGUAGAUAUCGAGAGGAACACUCGUGGCGAAGGCGGGUUCCUGGACAUUAACUGACGCUGAGGCACGAAGGCCAGGGGAGCGAAAGGGAUUAGAUACCCCUGUAGUCCUGGCAGUAAACGGUGCACGCUUGGUGUGCGGGGAAUCGACCCCCUGCGUGCCGGAGCUAACGCGUUAAGCGUGCCGCCUGGGGAGUACGGUCGCAAGAUUAAAACUCAAAGAAAUUGACGGGGACCCGCACAAGCGGUGGAGUAUGUGGCUUAAUUCGAUGCAACGCGAAGAACCUUACCUGGGCUUGACAUGUAAUGAACAACAUGUGAAAGCAUGCGACUCUUCGGAGGCGUUACACAGGUGCUGCAUGGCCGUCGUCAGCUCGUGUCGUGAGAUGUUUGGUUAAGUCCAGCAACGAGCGCAACCCCUGUUGCCAGUUACCAGCACGUGAAGGUGGGGACUCUGGCGAGACUGCCCAGAUCAACUGGGAGGAAGGUGGGGACGACGUCAGGUCAGUAUGGCCCUUAUGCCCAGGGCUGCACACGUACUACAAUGCCCAGUACAGAGGGGGCCGAAGCCGCGAGGCGGAGGAAAUCCUAAAAACUGGGCCCAGUUCGGACUGUAGGCUGCAACCCGCCUACACGAAGCCGGAAUCGCUAGUAAUGGCGCAUCAGCUACGGCGCCGUGAAUACGUUCCCGGGUCUUGUACACACCGCCCGUCACAUCAUGGAAGCCGGUCGCACCCGAAGUAUCUGAAGCCAACCGCAAGGAGGCAGGGUCCUAAGGUGAGACUGGUAACUGGGAUG